rnacentral:rRNA from 1 species
CUCAGGACGAACGCUGGCGGCGUGCCUAAUACAUGCAAGUCGAGCGGACUAAUGGGAGCUUGCUCCCAGAGGUCAGCGGCGGACGGGUGAGUAACACGUGGGCAACCUGCCCUGUAGACUGGGAUAACACCGAGAAAUCGGUGCUAAUACCGGAUAAUAUUGAAGAUCUCCUGAUCUUCUAUUAAAAGAUGGCUCCGGCUAUCACUACAGGAUGGGCCCGCGGCGCAUUAGCUAGUUGGUGAGGUAACGGCUCACCAAGGCGACGAUGCGUAGCCGACCUGAGAGGGUGAUCGGCCACACUGGGACUGAGACACGGCCCAGACUCCUACGGGAGGCAGCAGUAGGGAAUCUUCCGCAAUGGACGAAAGUCUGACGGAGCAACGCCGCGUGAGUGAUGAAGGAUUUCGGUUCGUAAAGCUCUGUUGUUAGGGAAGAACAAGUGCCGUUCGAAUAGGGCGGCAC